GACGAACGCUGGCGGCGUGCUUAACACAUGCAAGUCGAACGAAGUGGCGAACGGGUGAGUAACGCCUAAUCAACCUGCCCUUCAGAGGGGGACAACAGUUGGAAACGACUGCUAAUACCCCAUACUGAAGGAGGGGUUUGCGUCUGCUUAGCUAGUUGGAGGGGUAACGGCCCACCAAGGCGAUGAUCAGUAGCCGGUCUGGGAGGAAGAACGGCCCAAUUGGGACUGGGACACGGGCCAGGCUCCUACGGGAGGCAGCAGUGGGGAAUCUUCCGCAAUGGACGGAAGUCUGACGGAGCAACGCCGCGGGAGUGAUGACGGCCUUCGGGUUGUAAAGCUCUUUUAAUCGGGACGCGGUACCGGAAGAGAAAGCCACGGCUAACUACGUGCCAGCAGCCGCGGUAAUUC
rnacentral:rRNA from 1 species